ACCCUUUAAAGUUUGAAUCUGGCUCAGAUUGAACGCUGGCGGCAGGCUUAACACAUGCAAGUCGAGCGGAGAGAGGUAGCUUGCUACUGAUCUUAGCGGCGGACGGGUGAGUAAUGCUUAGGAAUCUGCCUAUUAGUGGGGGACAACAUUUCGAAAGGAAUGCUAAUACCGCAUACGUCCUACGGGAGAAAGCAGGGGAUCUUCGGACCUUGCGCUAAUAGAUGAGCCUAAGUCGGAUUAGCUAGUUGGUGGGGUAAAGGCCUACCAAGGCGACGAUCUGUAGCGGGUCUGAGAGGAUGAUCCGCCACACUGGGACUGAGACACGGCCCAGACUCCUACGGGAGGCAGCAGUGGGGAAUAUUGGACAAUGGGCGCAAGCCUGAUCCAGCCAUGCCGCGUGUGUGAAGAAGGCCUUAUGGUUGUAAAGCACUUUAAGCGAGGAGGAGGCUACUUUAGUUAAUACCUAGAGAUAGUGGACGUUACUCGCAGAAUAAGCACCGGCUAACUCUGUGCCAGCAGCCGCGGUAAUACAGAGGGUGCAAGCGUUAAUCGGAUUUACUGGGCGUAAAGCGCGCGUAGGCGGCUAAUUAAGUCAAAUGUGAAAUCCCCGAGCUUAACUUGGGAAUUGCAUUCGAUACUGGUUAGCUAGAGUGUGGGAGAGGAUGGUAGAAUUCCAGGUGUAGCGGUGAAAUGCGUAGAGAUCUGGAGGAAUACCGAUGGCGAAGGCAGCCAUCUGGCCUAACACUGACGCUGAGGUGCGAAAGCAUGGGGAGCAAACAGGAUUAGAUACCCUGGUAGUCCAUGCCGUAAACGAUGUCUACUAGCCGUUGGGGCCUUUGAGGCUUUAGUGGCGCAGCUAACGCGAUAAGUAGACCGCCUGGGGAGUACGGUCGCAAGACUAAAACUCAAAUGAAUUGACGGGGGCCCGCACAAGCGGUGGAGCAUGUGGUUUAAUUCGAUGCAACGCGAAGAACCUUACCUGGCCUUGACAUAGUAAGAACUUUCCAGAGAUGGAUUGGUGCCUUCGGGAACUUACAUACAGGUGCUGCAUGGCUGUCGUCAGCUCGUGUCGUGAGAUGUUGGGUUAAGUCCCGCAACGAGCGCAACCCUUUUCCUUAUUUGCCAGCGAGUAAUGUCGGGAACUUUAAGGAUACUGCCAGUGACAAACUGGAGGAAGGCGGGGACGACGUCAAGUCAUCAUGGCCCUUACGGCCAGGGCUACACACGUGCUACAAUGGUCGGUACAAAGGGUUGCUACCUAGCGAUAGGAUGCUAAUCUCAAAAAGCCGAUCGUAGUCCGGAUUGGAGUCUGCAACUCGACUCCAUGAAGUCGGAAUCGCUAGUAAUCGCGGAUCAGAAUGCCGCGGUGAAUACGUUCCCGGGCCUUGUACACACCACCCGUCACACCAUGGGAGUUUGUUGCACCAGAAGUAGCUAGCCUAACUGCAAAGAGGGCGGUUACCACGAUGUGGACCGAUGACUGGGGUGAAAUCGUAAGGGAGUAACCGCGGUUAGGAAGAGAGCCUUGGGACGAAGCGUG
rnacentral:rRNA from 1 species